AGUGAACGCUGGCGGUAGGCCUAACACAUGCAAGUCGAACGGCAGCACAGUAAGAGCUUGCUCUUACGGGUGGCGAGUGGCGGACGGGUGAGGAAUACAUCGGAAUCUACUUUUUCGUGGGGGAUAACGUAGGGAAACUUACGCUAAUACCGCAUACGACCUACGGGUGAAAGCAGGGGAUCUUCGGACCUUGCGCGAUUGAAUGAGCCGAUGUCGGAUUAGCUAGUUGGCGGGGUAAAGGCCCACCAAGGCGACGAUCCGUAGCUGGUCUGAGAGGAUGAUCAGCCACACUGGAACUGAGACUCGGUCCAGACUCCUACGGGAGGCAGCAGUGGGGAAUAUUGGACAAAGGGCGCAAGCCUGAUCCAGCCAUACCGCGUGGGUGAAGAAGGCCUUCGGGUUGUAAAGCCCUUUUGUUGGGAAAGAAAAGCAGCAGGUUAAUACCCCGCUGUUCUGACGGUACCCAAAGAAUAAGCACCGGCUAACUUCGUG
rnacentral:rRNA from 1 species